UCUCAGCGGUCCGAGGUGUUGGCUACGGGCUAGCCCGACUCCUGGCCACGGUGCGGGAGACAGCGGCCACCCGGAAGCUUUCGUCUUUCCGCGGCUCCGCUCGGGGCAGAGGAACCGGCUGGUCAUGUCAGUCGGGUCAUGGUCAGAAGAAAAAUCAAUCUCAGUGAAAUGAUUAAUUCCUCAAAAUUCUGGUAUUUUAUUUGUACCUGUUUGUCUUGAUUGUCCAAGUCACCUUUCAUAUAAUUAGAAUCCAGAAAAUAUAUCUACCACUGUACUCUCCAAAUUCAAUGGGCAAGUCAAACAUUCACCUCUGUACAAAAGGAAUAUUAACAUACAGGCACCUGCUCACGUUGGCACUGGGACAUAGGAAAUCUCAUGUUUGUUGCUCGAUUCCUUGAUGAUGGCAGAUUUUGGAUUUUGCAGGAGAAAAAAGACCUAUUUCAGCUGAAGUUAUUCAAACGAUAAACUAGUAAUGUUAUUGUGCCUUUUUUGUUGAAACUCAACAUAACUUUUUAGAAAAAAGAAAAGGAUAAGGACUAGCCUGACUGGUGUGGC